rnacentral:rRNA from 1 species
GACGAACGCUGGCGGCAUGCCUAAUACAUGCAAGUCGAGCGAACAGAUGAAGUGCUUGCACUUCUGCCGUUAGCGGCGAACGGGUGAGUAACACGUAAGGAAUCUACCUAUAAGCGGGGGAUAACAUUCGGAAACGGGUGCUAAUACCGCAUAAUAUCUUCUUCCGCAUGGAAGAAGAUUGAAAGACGGCUCUGCUGUCACUUAUAGAUGACCUUGCGGUGCAUUAGUUAGUUGGUGGGGUAACGGCCUACCAAGACGAUGAUGCAUAGCCGAACUGAGAGGGUAAGCUGCCACAUUGGGACGGAGACACGGCCCAAACUCCUACGGGAGGCAGCAGUAGGGAAUCUUCCGCAAUGGGCGAAAGCCUGACGGAGCAAUGCCGCGUGAGUGAAGAAGGCCUUCGGGUCGUAAAACUCUGUUAUAAGAGAAGAACAAAUUGUAGAGUAACUGCUACAGUCUUGACGGUAUCUUAUCAGAAAGCCACGGCUAACUACGUGCCAGCCGCCGCCGUAA